rnacentral:misc_RNA from 1 species
GAUGAAGAACGCAGCGAAAUGCGAUACUUGGUGUGAAUUGCAGAAUCCCGUGAACCAUCGAGUCUUUGAACGCAAGUUGCGCCCGAAGCCAUCAGGUUGAGGGCACGUCUGCCUAGGCGUCACAUAUCGUUGCCCAAUGCCUAUUGCAGUGCAAUAGGAAUUUCUAGGGCGAAUGAUGGCUUCCCGUGAGCGUUGUUGCCUCGCGGUUGGUUGAAAAUCGAGUCCUUGGUAGGGUGUGCCAUGGUAGAUGGUGGUCGAGUUAGAACGAUACCGAUCAUGUGCAUGCUCCCCAAAAUAUGGCCUCUAUGACCCACACGCGUCUUUUGACGCUCAUGACGAGACCUCAGGUCAGGCGGGGCUACCCGCUGAAUUUAAGCAUAUAAUAAGCGGAGGA